GACGAACGCUGGCGGCGUGCUUAACACAUGCAAGUCGAACGGAAAGGCCCUGCUUUUGUGGGGUGCUCGAGUGGCGAACGGGUGAGUAACACGUGAGUAACCUGCCCUUGACUUUGGGAUAACUUCAGGAAACUGGGGCUAAUACCGGAUAGGAGCUCCUGCUGCAUGGUGGGGGUUGGAAAGUUUCGGCGGUUGGGGAUGGACUCGCGGCUUAUCAGCUUGUUGGUGGGGUAGUGGCUUACCAAGGCUUUGACGGGUAGCCGGCCUGAGAGAGUGACCGGCCACAUUGGGACUGAGAUACGGCCCAGACUCCUACGGGAGUAAGCAGUGGGAAAUAUUGCACAAUGGGCGGAAGCCUGAUGCAGCAACGCCGCGUGCGGGAUGACGGCCUUCGGGUUGUAAUACGCUUUCGCCUGUGACGAAGCGUAAGUGACGGUAAUGGGUAAAGAAGCACCGGCUAACUACGUG
rnacentral:rRNA from 1 species